GCUUAUCACCAUUCCAGAUUGAAUAUACCCGAUCUCGUCUGAUCUCGGAAGUCAAGCAAUCUCGGGCUUGGUUAGUACUUGGAUGGGUGACC
rfam:Ciona savignyi cont_35393, whole genome shotgun sequence.